UACAGGGGUCUCAAGCGUUGUCCGGAAUUAUUGGGCGUAAAGGGCUCGUAGGCGGUUUGUCGCGUCGGGAGUGAAAUCCACUGGCUUAACUGGUGGCUUGCUUUCGAUACGGGCAGACUGGAGGUAUGCAGGGGAGAACGGAAUUCCUGGUGUAGCGGUGAAAUGCGCAGAUAUCAGGAGGAACACCGGUGGCGAAGGCGGUUCUCUGGGCAUGUCCUGACGCUGAGGAGCGAAAGUGUGGGGAGCGAACAGG
rnacentral:rRNA from 1 species